rnacentral:rRNA from 1 species
GACGAACGCUGGCGGCGUGCUUAACACAUGCAAGUCGAACGCUGAAGCUUGGUGCUUGCACUGGGUGGAUGAGUGGCGAACGGGUGAGUAAUACGUGAGUAACCUGCCCUUGGCUCUGGGAUAAGCCUGGGAAACUGGGUCUAAUACUGGAUACGACAUGUCACCGCAUGGUGGUGUGUGGAAAGGGUUUUACUGGUUUUGGAUGGGCUCACGGCCUAUCAGCUUGUUGGUGGGGUAAUGGCUCACCAAGGCGACGACGGGUAGCCGGCCUGAGAGGGUGACCGGCCACACUGGGACUGAGACACGGCCCAGACUCCUACGGGAGGCAGCAGUGGGGAAUAUUGCACAAUGGGCGGAAGCCUGAUGCAGCGACGCCGCGUGAGGGAUGACGGCCUUCGGGUUGUAAACCUCUUUCAGCACGGAAGAAGCGAAAGUGACGGUACGUGCAGAAGAAGCGCCGGCUAACUACGUG